UCGCGUUACAAAAAUAAUGCGGUUUAAAUGCCGAAAAUAAUACAGUUGAAAUGCUGUAAAUAUUAUCUGAAGCAGCAGUGUGGCGCAAAACCAUCGCUAAAUGAUACAAAUGAUUGAAAAGUACAAAUCAAGGAGAGUAAUAGCACAGUUGUUAUUAACAUAGCAAAAAAGAAAAAGAACGUGAUGCCCAGCUUCCAGUCAUCAAGCCUGUUUUCCCAAAAAUGACGAAUAUUUUCCAAAUUCUGGUGGAGUUCAUAAACUUCUGAGCACAAGUUUGAGUGAUGUCUAAUUGGAUUUAGUGUGUGACGGCAGAAUGAUGAGUGCGAAUAAACACAACUUCCUUUUUACGAUUGCCUGCGAAAACAAUGUUUGCUUUCACACAGGCGGAGUGUAGAAAAACAUGCGCGCGUAUGGGAACAAGAGGUCGAUUGUUUUUUUUUUUUUUUCAUUUUCACCGGACCUCUCGAAGUUUCCUCGAUUGGCCACGCUAAGCUAAUGUAUGGAUGUCUGAAUUUCAUUAUCAGACUCGACUUGUGUGGCUGUUGAGUAAUGGUUCAGAUUGCUCUGCAAAUCUAAAAAAAAUCAUCGUAUUUUUCCUCAUGAGCGGCAUGUUGUACUUGGAUGAUAUUUUGACCAUUGCCUGCAGCAGCCUCGCAACAGAACACGUACAACCUUUAAAACCAAAAACAAGAUUUGCAACAUGACAUCUGCACUAGCUAUAGUAUGUGUCACAGUGCCAAGUGGAAGUAAGAAAAAGAAUGAAGAAAUUAAUUAAUAUUUUGCCAUCAAAACACCCAUCUCAGUUACGUUUUUGUUGUUGUAUUUGUGUCAAAGUCAUAGUUUUGCUUGGCAUGUUUUUUUUUUCUUCUUAAAAAUUUUAUUUUUCUGUUUUUCUCCCCUUUUUUGGUCAGAAAUUGAAGUUUUGGGUGAAACUAACUUCUGUUUGACUGCUGAUUACUGAAGAACGGACAGCGCUAGAAACAAACUUUUAUGUUCUGGUGAAAGAAGAGAGUCUAUUUUUCUUUGGGUGGGUUCGCUGCUAGCAUUCAGACAGAAGACAAUAUUGUAUGGUUGUCAAUGGGCUCGCCAUAUGAGGGAACUCUGUUUCACUCUCGGUACGGAAGAUUGCGACAUUUAAUUUUUUUUUUCAUCUGAAGCUUACUCGCGACACCUAGCAAGGCUCAUAACCAGAUUUGUUAUUUCUGUCAAGACCUAUGUAUUUUUUUUCGGUCGCAAACGAAGCCUGCAAUCAGCGCGAUUGCCCUUUUUAACCCAGCGGAUCCGAUUGCUUGCAAGUGCGUUUCUACAUUUAUUGAUUGAAAACGAGACUAUGUGACUCCUCCCUGUUACGUGGCGAGCUCAGCUCUCCUUGAAGUGGAAUGUUUUCAGGCAGCCAAGGUAUCUGUGCCCCCAGUCGCACUUUGAUGCUCAAGGUGAGAUGCAGCUUAUGAGUUGAAGAUUUGAAAGUCGAUAGUCGAGUCAUGUGUGAAUGUUGCAGCCUCAGAGUUCUACUUGACAGCCGCAUGCAAAUGUCUUAUUUUGAUUAAACACAACAAUAUUAUUUAAGCAACGGGAUCAAAUUAAUAAACU